AACGAACGCUGGCGGCAUGCCUAACACAUGCAAGUCGAACGAGACCUUCGGGACUAGUGGCGCACGGGGGCGUAACGCGUGGGAACCUGCCCUUAGGUUCGGAAUAACUCCCCGAAUGGGGUGCUAAUACCGGAUAAUGUCUCCGGACCAAAGAUUUAUCGCCUUUGGAUGGGCCCGCGUUGGAUUAGCUAGUUGGUAGGGUAAAAGCCUACCAAGGCGACGAUCCAUAGCUGGUAUGAGAGGAUGAUCAGCCACACUGGGAGUGAGACACGGCCCGGAAUCCUACGGGAGGGAGCAGUGGGGAAUAUUGGAAAAUGGGCGAAAGCCUGAUCCAGCAAUGCCGCGUGAGUGAUGAAGGCCUUAGGGUUGUAAAGCUCUUUUACCCGGGAUGAUAAUGACAGUACCGGGAGAAUAAGCUCCGGCUAACUCCGUG
rnacentral:rRNA from 1 species